GGGUUGUGAGGUUAAGCGACUAAGCGUACACGGUGGAUGCCCUGGCAGUCAGAGGCGAUGAAGGACGUGCUAAUCUGCGAAAAGCGUCGGUAAGGUGAUAUGAACCGUUAUAGCCGGCGAUGUCCGAAUGGGGAAACCCAGUGCAAUUCGUUGCACUAUCGUUUGAUGAAUACAUAGUCAAACGAGGCGAACCGGGGGAACUGAAACAUCUAAGUACCCCGAGGAAAAGAAAUCAACCGAGAUUCCCCCAGUAGCGGCGAGCGAACGGGGAGCAGCCCGGAGUCUGAAUCAGCUUGUGUGUUAGUGGAAGCGUCUGGAAAGUCGCAGGGUACAGGGUGAUACUCCCGUACACUAAAACACACAGGCUGUGAACUCGAAGAGUAGGGCGGGACACGUGGUAUCCUGUCUGAAUAUGGGGGGACCAUCCUCCAAGGCUAAAUACUCCUGACUGACCGAUAGUGAACCAGUACCGUGAGGGAAAGGCGAAAAGAACCCCGGCGAGGGGAGUGAAAAAGAACCUGAAACCGUGUACGUACAAGCAGUAGGAGCCCCACCACCAAAGCGUUUCGCUUUGCGUGGUGCGCAAAAUGCGUAACGACAGCAUGAUGGACGGUUAACGGAGCGUCAGCGACGUUCAACCUCAAAAAUCAGGCAGUGGAGCGUUUUGGGGUGGGGUGACUGCGUACCUUUUGUAUAAUGGGUCAGCGACUUAUAUUCUGUAGCAAGGUUAACCGUAUAGGGGAGCCGCAGGGAAACCGAGUCUUAACUGGGCGUUAAGUUGCAGGGUAUAGACCCGAAACCCGGUGAUCUAGCCAUGGGCAGGUUGAAGGUUGGGUAACACUAACUGGAGGACCGAACCGACUAAUGUUGAAAAAUUAGCGGAUGACUUGUGGCUGGGGGUGAAAGGCCAAUCAAACCGGGAGAUAGCUGGUUCUCCCCGAAAGCUAUUUAGGUAGCGCCUCGUGAACUCAUCUUCGGGGGUAGAGCACUGUUUCGGCUAGGGGGUCAUCCCGACUUACCAACCCGAUGCAAACUACGAAUACCGAAGAAUGUUAUCACGGGAGACACACGGCGGGUGCUAACGUCCGUCGUGAAGAGGGAAACAACCCAGACCGCCAGCUAAGGUCCCAAAGUCAUGGUUAAGUGGGAAACGAUGUGGGAAGGCCCAGACAGCCAGGAUGUUGGCUUAGAAGCAGCCAUCAUUUAAAGAAAGCGUAAUAGCUCACUGGUCGAGUCGGCCUGCGCGGAAGAUGUAACGGGGCUAAACCAUGCACCGAAGCUGCGGCAGCGACACUAUGUGUUGUUGGGUAGGGGAGCGUUCUGUAAGCCGUUGAAGGUGGCCUGUGAGGGUUGCUGGAGGUAUCAGAAGUGCGAAUGCUGACAUAAGUAACGAUAAUGCGGGUGAAAAACCCGCACGCCGGAAGACCAAGGGUUCCUGUCCAACGUUAAUCGGGGCAGGGUGAGUCGACCCCUAAGGCGAGGCCGAAAGGCGUAGUCGAUGGGAAACAGGUUAAUAUUCCUGUACUUGGUGUUACUGCGAAGGGGGGACGGAGAAGGCUAUGUUGGCCGGGCGACGGUUGUCCCGGUUUAAGCAUGUAGGCGGAUG
rnacentral:rRNA from 1 species